CAUAUUACUGUACCAGCAAAUAUCUCCGUUCCGCUUCGAGAGCCUUCUUCUCGUUUCGGCGUGGGCACAGCAAACUCAGAUCCAGCCGCCUCCGGACACCGUUGCGGUGAGGACGCAACGGAGGAGCUCAUCGGCCGCUACCUGACAACUGACCCUCCAUGGAGGCUGAGCAGGCGCAGCACCUCCGCCAUGAUCUCGUCAACGGUCGCCUGCCCACCUCCAUCACCUCAUCCUGCACCUUUUCAUCCUUCUCCAGAUGCUCCCCCCUCGCCGCCCGUUCAUCUCCAUUUCCGCGUCUGCCUUUGGCUUUUUCUCCAGCGAGGACGGAUCUCCGCCUCGCCAAAUGACCGGGCGCGAUGGAGACUCUGCUCCCCUUCUCUGAUUCUCCCACUAGCGUUGGCUGCCCUUCCUCCUAGCGCACCGCGAAGGAGGUGGCGGACAUACAGUUCCUGGGCCUCCUGAUGGCGGCCUUCGUGGCGGGUAGCUGCCGCGCGCGCGGUGGCGGCGAUCCGGCGGGUCUGCCUCUUCGUAGUUGCAGCUCGCCAUGAUCUCAAGCUCGCCGUGGAGGUCAAUGCGGCAGCGCAUGCGAUUCUGUGCCAAUCACCGGCGCGUACAUUCCGUUCCCCGCCGCCUGCAUCUUGUCAAGCAUCUCCACCGCCGGCCAUGUUCAAAUUCGCACUGGAGCUCUUCUUGCUCUGGCCGUUGCGGCGUCGGUGUCGACCGCGGCAUCCGUCGAUCUGGCCGCCGCUGCUGGGCUGGCCUUCCCUUCCCUCCUCAGGCACAGCAGUUGUUCCGGAAGGACUCAAAGAUAAUCACUCUUGAGGCUCUAGCUACUGUUAAGUCUGCUAUUGCAGAUAGUGGGAACUACAAGAAGGUUGAACUAACAAAGAAUUCUUUCAAAAAAAAGUAAGAAAGAAGGCAGGCAGCUGGGUGAAGUUGGGAGGACCCAACCUUGACGGAUAGUCUGAAAGUAAGUUCUCUAAUUCUCUGUUGUCUGCUUGUCUUAUUCAUGAUGUUUCUCAGAUCCAUAAUUUUGUGAUUUAUGGAAUAUUUUAAUUUGGCAAUGCAUCAUUUUUUAGCUCUUAUUGUCCAUCAACUUGAAGAUGACAAAGUAACCAUGAGUUAAGUUGUCAUUCUCGCAGGCAAGAUAUAAUGCUCUAUGAUCUAUCAUGAUAGAUCAUGAUUUGAUCUGAAACUCUAAAAGAAACUGAUCUUUUCUUCCUUUUUUAAAGGUGCUCGAAGGUGUCAUGUGUGAGCCAACAUGUUGCCACACGGGAUUUAGGUGGGCUUGCAGAUGAUAUAGUAAACAUCUACAGUUUUUUAUCUUACCAAAUUUGCUUGCAGAUGAUAGAUGUUAAUAAAGAUCUGACAGAAAGGGAAACACCAAAGGCUAGAUUAAUAUGUGCGGAGGCGAUGAUGUUUGCCAACUUUGAAUUCGGUUUGUCAUUGUUCCCUGAUCUUGAGGCAGUUUAAGGCUUUGUCAUGUCUGUUUUUUUUGUUAGGUUUGUGAGUUGGUGUAUGCAAUGAUCUGAGUACAUCCCAAUAUUUUUUUUAAUAAAUCUACAGACAAUGUGUUUGUUCUGUGGUAAACAUUUUAGUUUUCACUGAUUUGUUUUUUAAUAUAAUUCAAACUUGCAACCUUCUACUGAUGCAAUAAGACACCCGAAUCUCGGUUACAUGUUAUUGCAAUCCAACAAGGCAAACAAUGUCUGUACAAAGCUGGAGGAGACCACCUUGCUUCUUCAUGGCCUGUAAAUUGGUCAGGUUAUCAUUAAAUAAAUGGUUGGAAAAUUAGAAAUAGAGCUAGAUUAUAGUCUAAAUGGUAUGGCAAUUUGGAAAAGCAAAUGUAGCUUUCCCAUGAUUCAGUGAAUAAAUUUUUUUGAACAUUAUAUUUGUGUACAGCAAUUCAAUUUGGAAUCUAAUUUUACACAGUAAGCUAAAUUUGCGAUUAUAUUUGCUUGGCCAUAAAAACUUGGGUAUUCUCAACAUUCUGUUUGUAAUUGUGAUUGCUUCUUAGAAUACUCUUAUUAUAACAAUGUGCUUUUGUUGAAGUCUAUGAUUUGAAGAGUAUAUCGUUUUACUGCUACUAUUAUACCAAAGUACUUUAUAAGUUUAUAAUAUAAGCUUUAAAAGUAACAACGAUGUAUAUACAAGCUUGCAUCUUGGUAAGUUACUUUUCCUCCUUACUUUUAGUUAUCUAUGAUAUUGCUGAGAAUAAUAGCUGCAAUUUAUUAGUUUUGUGCCUGAGAAACUUUUGUAUAUUAUAUGCUAUUGUGUAUAAGUUACAGCUUAGUAUACAUUCUGCUUUGAAUAUAACUACGCUUUGUCUUAUUCAAAUUCCAACAAUGCGACCACUGAGAAGUUAAAUUAAUAUCUACUAAAAUACUACAAGCUACCUAUGAUAAAUCAGGAUGGCCAACUGGCUGACAUUUUUUUUUACAUUUCUAUUCUUCUCAUCUCUUCUCUUCUAUUCUUGUCAUAUAUUACUCUUCUUACUUAUGCUCUACUACUCAUUUCAAUUCAAUUGAUUUAGAUACUGCGAAUGCCAAAUAUAUUUUUUUAUAAUGCAAAAUAGAUUUUUUUUAAAAAAAACUACACACCCUUAAUUGCAUGCCUUCUAUUACCAUACAACUAUCUUCUUUAUCAUUGCAGGAAACUCAUGGUCAUCGCCGCAGCAAUAGUGAUGUACCUCGGCAUGUAUCAGGAGCCCAAAUCAUAGUUUGCAUGUGCUCUACGCACUUACCGUCCAUAUUAGAAUGUAAAUGGUUUUCACAAUCCAUGUACUAAAUACCAUUCAUGUGUGAAAUAAUCUAAUAACAUGUUGCUAUGUCCAUCUUGUAUCCAUUCAAUAUACUCACAUAUAUAUGUUCCAUUUC